rnacentral:lncRNA from 1 species
AAAAUCCAAACUCGGACUGAACCCGGCGGAUUUUAAAAUUCAUACUCAUAUUCAAAUUCGACUAAAAAUUUAAAAUUCGAAUCUGAAAUAAUAACUUAUCUUUAUCAUAUUUCAAAAUAUAUUAUAGUAAAAUCAAAAUUUCUAAAAUAAAAUUUUCAAAAUACAAUCAAAUACAAUAUUAAAAUAUUCAUGUCAUACAAUAUCAAUAUCAAGAUCACAAAUUCCAAUAGUUAAAGACAACAAUACAUUCUUUAAAUAUCUAAUACAAUCUUUAGAUAUCAAAAUGUUAUACAAUUUAUUCGAGUUCGGAUUUGGGUUCAGGUCGGGUAAAUACAAAAUUCAUAUCCGUAUUAAUAUCCGUCGGGUUUUUUUUACUGUACUUAUAGCCGAAUCUAUAUCUAUUUAGCUCAAGUAAACUUGUCCUGUUUGAAUUCGGGUUCGAAUAAUAUUUCAGAUAUUCAUACCCAUUGACAUCCCUAUCCAGGAAUGCAAAUGGGGCGGAUCCAGGCGGGAGGGGUCCGCACCUGCCCGCUCUAUUUCUUAUCGGAUCGGGGCGAAUUCGAGGCGAGUUAAUUUCAAAAUUAGAAUUUUCAAAAAUAUACCGAAUAAUAAAUAUAUUUUUAUAAGGGUUAAUUUCAUACAGGUCCCUACAAACACAGUGAAUGGCAAAUAUAUCCUCACAAAAUUCAACUUUUAUACAUUGUUUCUGCAAAAGUUCUAAUAUUUUCAAAUAUAUCCCUCUAGUUUCCUCUAAAAGGUAUAAAACAGUAUAAUAUAAGAGGGGUAAAAAUGUCAAAAACUAACUAGGGUUAAAUAUUUAACCUAUAGUUAACUAAAUUUUUCUAACGGAUUCUAACGGCAGGAACAACAUAUGAAGUUGAACUUUGUAGGGAUAUAUUUGUCAGUCACUAUGUCUGCAGGGAUCUAUAUGAAAUUAACCAUUUUUUUUUAUAAAGUUCAAGUUUUCAAAUUUAUUCUUUAAUAUGUUCUGAUUGUUUCAAAUGUACCUCUAUUGUUAGUGUCCGUUAGAAAAAUAUAGUUAAUCGUAUGUAAAAUGCAUAACCUUAGUUGGUAAGUGAGAUAAAUUAACCUUUUUAUCCCUUUGAUAUUAUACUUUCUUCUCUCAAUCAAAAUCGCAGUAAUGUGAAUUCUUCUCCUUCUUCUUCUUUCUUUUCCUCUUCCUCUCUCUCUCUCUCUCUCUCAUGCUAGUUUUGAAUCCGUAACUAGGAUUUCUUAGUCCCCAUUCAUCUACGACGCUUGUUGCUUCGCCCCAUGUCGAGCAUCGAAAAAUCGGUAUUAGAUAGGUAAAGAAGAAAAGGAGUGGGAGAAGAGACAGAGCAAAGGAUACAAUAAUGGUGGAUUAAAUUAGUUUCAAUAGAGAAAGAAGAUGACCAUUAAAAAUUUUUUGAGCGGACAUUUUUUCAUGAUUCUAACAGUUGAGACUUUUGGAGGGAUAUAU